rnacentral:lncRNA from 1 species
GCGGGGAUCCGACCCGCUGCCCCCGCAAUGCAAGGCCGCGCUGGCCUUCCAUUGCAAGCAAGAGGAACAACACCAGUCCGCUCCCUGCAGCCAGGGGAGGGCCGUGCCAGUGCCAGUGGUUUUAUUACAAGCUGCUGACCGAGACUUCCCCUUGCUCCGCAUUGACAACGUGCUUUGGCAAACUGUGUCCCAGGCCCUCCUGCUCCCCUGAAAGCAGCACGGGGCUGGGGAGUCAGGCUGCCUCCAGCCUCAGCUCUUACGGCAUGCUCAGUAAGGUCAAAGGGGGCCUGCUGUUAAUUUGCUGAUGCUUGAGCUUUGUUUCUUCCCAAAGGAAGCAAGUGUGCCUGGAGGACAAGAAGGAGGCACCGGGUGAGGGCAUGCAGCAGACGCACAGUGAGCCAGAGGCACAAAGAACCCUGAGAUGAGACCCCACGGAGCUCAGAGCAGUGAGAAAGGCGAAUUAUGGGCAUCUCCAAAGGAUCAGGUCCUGAGCUCAUAAAUCCCAAUUUCCAGGCAGCCACGAAUCCCCAAAGAAUCCACGGUCGCUUUGGAAAACAUCAGCCAGGCCUCUGGUGUCCCCGGGGUAGAACAUGGAUCUCAAUAAAGCAGAGCAUCCGAUGGCUGCAUCUGUCCCACGCGCUGUCCGUGUCACACAGGUCCAUGCCUUGUGCCAAGCUCCUGGCCAUGCAGGAGGACCCCCAGAGAUAGGUUCCCCAGUAGUAUAUGACCCUGAUCGCCAAAGGACUCCCGCUCCCCACCUGCCUCCCCAGUCAUAGGAUGGCUUAGGUUGGAGGGGACCUCAAGGAUCGUCUUGUUUCAACCCCCCUGCCAUGGGCAGGGUUGCCAACCACUAGAUCAGGCUGCCCAGGAUCCCAUCUCACCAGGCCCUGAAUGCCUCCAGAGAUGGGGCAUCCACAGCUUCUCUGGGCAGCCUGUUCCAGCACCUCACCCCCCUCUGUGUAAAUCCCUUCCCGCUCCCUUCCCCACAGUUCACAGUGUUGCCCACGUGGCAGGCGCUGUAGCAGAGGGGGAAAGGAGGGCACUUCUCCCCACGCCUGCGAGAAAGGGGCCUUGUAGCUCCUCAGUGGGCCACAGUGUCCAGUGGGGCCUGGCAGGUGUUCCCACUGCCGGGUUUAAGUCUGCUUCUUUU